UUCCAUAGCACUACACAUGUCGAUGCCCAAUUUUCCGUCGACUACCAUCCGAUUGCGGGGAAGCUUAAGGCGAUUCGCGCGGCUCCCCUCCGCUUGUCUUCCCUUCCUCUCCUCUCCUCUCCUCUCCUCUCUUCUUCUCCGAACCUACCGCACCAGGUUCUCCAUGGCGUUGAUCGAUCGGAAACAGAAACAGGGAGAAGGAAGAGGAGUCUCGAUGCUCCUCUCCAAGCCGUCACCGGAUUCGCAUCAGCUCUCGUUGUCUCAUCGUGGAUUACUUGGUCUCCUUUAUGGGUUCUCUUCACAGGGGAAGGAGAAAACUGAUCCUCAUAGCAUGAAGAAUCAAGGACUGACACAGGACUUGGGUAUUCAAAGAAGUAGGUAGAGUUGUACCUUCUGGUUCAAGACUAAGGUUGCAAUCUGGGAAGCCCUGCUUGAUGGGAUGCGAUGCUGCAGAACAGAUGACUGUAAUGCAAGGCUCCUACUUUUGUUAGAACCUGGCGAAGUUUCAUCAUUUCGACGACUUGAAACCCUUUUCUCACAGAUGAUUUCAUCAACAUCAACCUGGUCUUCUCUUUUUUGUACUUGAGAUUGUUUCAGCCUGAGUUUGCGUCUUGGAGAAACUGAUUCGACUGGUUUCCUAUUGUUAUGCUCACUUUGAGCCUUGUUCAUGUUGGGGAUACUGCAUCAAGUUUGAAUGAAAAUUCGGAGAAUUAUUAUUUCCCAUGGAGCUUCUGAUGAUUUGCCUAUCUGUUGUUGAGAGAAGUGCCUGAAUGUUUGAUUCACCAAGUCUGACUCUAGGACUGUGGUCUCUCUCAGCUGUGAUGUUUGCUGAGCUUUUCUUUCUAUUACCAGCACUACUUGUAUGCAGCUUUGGAAGAUUUGAUAGACCUUCCAGAAGAACUACUGUGUGACCUGAAGCAUCUGAAAUUCUGGCAUUCUUUGCAGGCUUCAUAACUACAAUUGGAGGAUCAAAAGCUUUUGGAGAACCACCUUCUUGUGCUGGUUGUUUCCAGACCUUUGGUGACCUCGAGUUCUGAGUGCUUCCCCUUGGAGUUCGGUCUGCGUAAUCUUCCAGCACAGAUAUCUUGUAGGGAUGAUCAUUAUACUUUGUGGUCUGUGCCAGCCUCUUCGCGUACAUAGCAGCUACUAUUUGUUUGAGAGCCCUGAUGUCCUUCUUUUGCUGCUGGAACUUAUGCCCUUUGAGUCUCUCCUCGAUCUCUUGGUAGAUGAACUGAGCUUCUUGGUACCCAGUUCUUGCUUUCUGUGGAGUCUGCUGUGUCCAAGCGUGAGGGAGCUGAUCACCUUUUGCAUCCCGAGUUCCUCUUGGUCUUGUUGCUGAGGUACAGUCUCUCGGUUCAUGGGAAGGAGCACAGCUUUUUCUGGCAACUGCUGCUUGAGCUGCUGAGUUCGAGCCGAGCAUUUCAUCCAAGCCCAUGAGCUUUGCGACGAUGCUGGGUUGUCGCUUUUGGCUAAGAUCCUGAAGCAGAUUGGAAGCUCUAUUGACACUGGGACUGGUAGUAGUUUUGUCGAAGUCCUCCAAAGUUGAACUUGUUCUUGAAGCAAAGUUAGAACUCCUUUGAGCUCCUUGCCUGCUGUCCAGUGAGAGCCUUGGAAGCUCUCUAUGUUUGUUAGCGGGCUUACUGUUAUCUUGGGAAUCCAUCGACAGCCGCGAGAGUUCUCUUCCAUCAUAAGAGAAACGAGGUGAUCUCCGUGAUUCUUGGUAGAACGAGGUAUCAUUUGCUUCAUGAUCACGAAAACUCCAGGGUGCUUCCUUGAGUUCUACCAGGAGUCUGAUUGCUUCAUUGAGAUCAGCUGGCAUUCUCGUUUUGGCGAGCAGCACAGGCCUGGGCGAGUCCUUGUGCUUCACUUCAUGGUUGUUCACCUUCUCAGUUGAUGCAGUUCUGGUAGGAAAGCCCUGAGCGCCUUUCUUUAUGGGAUCUCUCACAGCAUUGUGGAAAUCAAGGGUUUGCAGAAUAGCCUUUGGGGUACUACUGCAGGAGUCAAAGCUUAUAGAUUUGGCAUCAUCUUCUGGUUUCUUAACCUUGGGUGAAUUCACUAGCAGCAACUUCUCUUGAAAGAAUGCUCUGUCAAAGGAGCAGGCCUCCUGUCGAGAUGCUUUGACAGAUUCGAGAGAAGAAUAUGACGAGCUGGAUGAGGAACAAGAAGCUCUCGACGAUUCCAUGGAAGCUGUCUGGGUUUCGUUCAAGCUCUUGCUCAGAUUCUUCUCCUGCAUGUUAAAUUGAUAUCUGUCAAUCUUCUAUCGAUAGAGAAUAAAACAAAAGUAAGUAUGCUGAGGCUGAUACUUUACCUGAAGAAUCUGUGAAAAGCGUGGUUUUUGCUCUGACUCUUGUCUUCCAUUCUUUGGAAGAACAUGUCCUAACCAAGAACAAGAUCAAUAUUUCGUUAGGAUCUAACUCCAAAACUACAGUCUGCAGCAUAGACACAUAUCAGGGUAUCCAUUUUAAUUUGGUGGUAACAAUUUGGUGAUUCAAUUUGACAAUUGUCAAAAGAUGAGCACUUAAAUGGUCAUCAUUGAUGCUCAAUCGACACUUUUUCAGAACAAAAAUUUCUCCAUGAUAUUAGUAAUUUGUAAUACAGGAUCGAGGCAGUAUUAUUGUAUUAGUGGCUCAAGGCUUUACAAUCAUCAAAUUCUCCAUGUAUGUUCCUCAGGGGAUCCAACAGAAUCACAGAAGGAUCAGAAUCUUCAAAAUUAAAUUUGAGUUUGCUGAUGAUACAAAUGCCUCAACAAGGAGUCUCAUAAUUGAUUCAGCAAGAACCAGUUGGUACCUGAUGGAAGCUUCCUAUGGUUGUGAUCAUUGAGGCGCUUCCCAAUGAGGAGAUGGUGGCAGUCAAACAUCUGAAAGAUUCCGGCGAUGCACCCAAUUUGCUUCUGCAGAUCCAUAUUCUCAUCCGUGAACGCAUCGAGCAACUUGGCACGCAUUCUGAGCCGCUUUGAUUCCACGACUUCAAUAUAAGGCUCACAAAAAGGGAUCUGUUUUCUCGCUCUAGUGUUGGUCGAGUUCUGCAAGGGAAGGCAUGAGCAAACUGUGGGCUUAAGAAACCAAUUGUUGGAGAGGGUUCUGAGUAUAUAGUGAUAGAUUCGAGCUGGGAAGAAUGGAAUCGAAGAGGCUAUGUUGAAGAUGGCUGUGAGGGGCCUUCCUCGCACCGCGUGGGUCUUUAAGCAGCUUGCAUGGGCAUGUGAUGGCGGUCAGGAAGUACAGAGCAUGGUCGACUGCAAAUUGUUACCAGUAUCGUUCUCAGACUCUCCCUUCUUCUUUACCUGCUGUCAUUUUUAUGCACCAUGAUACGUGUCCAUACUCGAACACAAUCAAUUGGUUCAUUUAACUGUGACUCCAACAAGGUGGUCCUACGAACAGUUAGUGAAGGCAGCCAUCUGGAUUGUCUGCCAUUGCAGAAACUGUCGAAUCUAAACCAGUAGAAUGAAUGUUUCUUUGUACAGUAAAGAAGCUAUCACACUACUUAUCUAUCAUGUUAGCCAUUUACAAUCUUUGUUCUGGUUU